GGGAUAGCUUAGUCAGUAGUGCAUGAGACUCUUAAUCUCAAGCUUGUAGGUUUGAGCCCCAUGUUGGGCCA